rnacentral:rRNA from 1 species
UCGAGCGAGCGGAACUAACAGAUUUACUUCGGUAAUGACGUUAGGAAAGCGAGCGGCGGAUGGGUGAGUAACACGUGGGGAACCUGCCCCAUAGUCUGGGAUACCACUUGGAAACAGGUGCUAAUACCGGAUAAGAAAGCAGAUCGCAUGAUCAGCUUUUAAAAGGCGGCGUAAGCUGUCGCUAUGGGAUGGCCCCGCGGUGCAUUAGCUAGUUGGUAAGGUAAAGGCUUACCAAGGCGAUGAUGCAUAGCCGAGUUGAGAGACUGAUCGGCCACAUUGGGACUGAGACACGGCCCAAACUCCUACGGGAGGCAGCAGUAGGGAAUCUUCCACAAUGGACGCAAGUCUGAUGGAGCUACGCCGCGUGAGUGAAGAAGGUUUUCGGAUCGUAAAGCUCUGUUGUUGGUGAAGAAGGAUAGAGGUAGUAACUGGCCUUUAUUUGACGGUAAUCAACCAGAAAGUCACGGCUAACUACGUGCCAGCAGCCGCGGUAAUACGUAGGUGGCAAGCGUUGUCCGGAUUUAUUGGGCGUAAAGCGAGCGCAGGCGGAAGAAUAAGUCUGAUGUGAAAGCCCUCGGCUUAACCGAGGAACUGCAUCGGAAACUGUUUUUCUUGAGUGCAGAAGAGGAGAGUGGAACUCCAUGUGUAGCGGUGGAAUGCGUAGAUAUAUGGAAGAACACCAGUGGCGAAGGCGGCUCUCUGGUCUGCAACUGACGCUGAGGCUCGAAAGCAUGGGUAGUGAACAGGAUUAGAUACCCUGGUAGUCCAUGCCGUANACGAUGGGUGCUAAGUGUUGGGAGGUUUCCGCCUCUCAGUGCUGCAGCUAACGCAUUAAGCACUC